rnacentral:piRNA from 2 species
UACCUGAAAAUGUGGAAACGACUUUGGAAC